CUUCUGACCAGAGCGACCUGUAUUCUCAAUGUUAUGGCCUAGAUGGAGAAUGUCUCCCAAAAGCCUCGUUGUUCAGGGACAGGGUUUUCGGAAGCCCCUGCAUUGGUCUGCUGGUCCCGGAGAACAUUCAUUCUGUCCUGAGGGUUUCCAUAAAGUCCCCCAGGGAGAUGCUCAUGGAGGUGAACCCUGGCCCGUAGCAUUCUAGAAGAUCUUCAGCACCAUCCCUUGACCGUCAGCUCUGCCACGUGAGCCCUUCAAGGCAGCACCUGUGGCCUUACUUUGGGGAAAGGAGAAAAGGAUCAUCUGACUUCAAUAAAGUUUCCCAAAAGUUUACCAGCGUGUAAAAUGCUCCAUUGUACCCAGAUGCCUGUGGGAUG
rnacentral:lncRNA from 1 species